rnacentral:rRNA from 1 species
GAAUUCGAUUCAGGCCUAACACAUGCAAGUCAAGCGCGAAAGUUCUUCGGAAUGAGUAAAGAAAAGGACGGGUGAGUAACGCGUGGGAAUCUGCCUAGUAGUGGGGGACAACAGCCGGAAACGGCUGCUAAUACCGCAUACGCCCUACGGGGGAAAGGGGGGGAUCUUCGGACCUCUCGCUAUUAGAUGAGCCCGCGUCGGAUUAGCUAGUUGGUAGGGUAAAGGCCUACCAAGGCUACGAUCCGUAACUGGUCUGAGAGGAUGAUCAGUCACACUGGAACUGAGGCACGGUCCAGACUCCUACGGGAGGCAGCAGUGGGGAAUAUUGGACAAUGGGGGCAACCCUGAUC